UGCAGAAUACUGCACACAGACAAACUGCAUGCAGGUAUAUAUGCAGAACAGCUCCUCCUGCUUGUAAUUCACACAGUAUUGACACAUUAUCAAUCUGUUCACAUUACCAAAGCAGACGUGAAACUGUCAUCCACAGCCUUAUCCUGUACCUCGGAGAGAAAGAAGAAGAGCUAUUUGAAGAUUGCCCGGAGGACACUCGCAGUGAUGCCGCUGAACAUAUCCUUAAGAUACUGGUCAUCCAUGGUGCUGAUAAAGAGGAUCCAGUCGAUGUGUCCAUCAUUUUGGAAGGCAGGGAGAUGUUUCCAGGAUGCGGCAGUACUGCUAAAGCUUGCACACUGCUGAUGGGGCAUUUAUGCCCUCAACCUGGCAUACCCCCCAAUACUGCGCUACACCUUUGAGGUGUUCCACAAACAUUUCCUGGACCUGGAUGGUGUUAAGAUGUCCCCAAAACUGCAAUCUUUAAAGUUGAAGUUGCUCUCCUAAAUGCUAUCAACAUGGUACGUGCUGUACAAUCGAGGCUGUUGGUAGACUCCAAAUUACAUCUCCAUCUCAAAAAUUUUUACAAAAUCUUGACUACUUUUUACUUCUUGAAAUGUUUUAAUGUGUUACGGUUUUAAGAGCAUAAAGAGCACUUAGUGUCGGUUUGAAUGCUGUCAUUGCAUUAAAGGGUUAGUUCACCCAAAAAUUAAAAUUAUGUCAUUAAUAACU